AGACAUUUUAACUAAACUCAAGUAUAUACUUUGAAAGUAUAAGAUAGGAUACCCCUAAAUGUCUA
rnacentral:tRNA from 1 species